UCUGUGUCAGAAUUUUUUGUGUGUACAUAUCGAGUCAUCCAGAGCAGUAUUUUCCUCAUCUAGCUCGGCAGCUCACCUGAUUCCCCAGGAUUUCCAGCCAUUCAUGGAUGCUGUCAGAGCAGAAGAGUGGCUGGGAAGGCCUACCAGAUGUGACCUUCAGUUGUUUUCCUGGAUGAGAUUGAUGCUGUUGCUCUUGUAUGCGACAGCAAACAAGACCAGGUUCCUAGGACAUGUCUGGUAUCUUGUGUAGAAGAUGCUUGAUCUUUGUGAAAAGAAGACUGCAACCUAUUUAACUUGAUGUGACACCUUCAUUUAACCUGAAAAGUAGUAAUUCAGUGCUAGUGAAUUUCAGAUGAUUUUUAAAUGAGAAUGGAAAACAAUUCACUAAGCUUGAAAUCAGCCCAAGCUCUGUUGUAGGAACACUUCUGGCACUAAUGGAUGGCUUCACUGGUUCAAAGGUUGUGGGAAUCAGAGCCAUCAGCAGACUGUAAUCGGUAGAUUCUGCUUCACGAAGACCUGGACACUUUGUGUGAAUUCAACUUCAGCUUGCCAAACAAAGAGGUCAGAACUUCAACUCAGCCUUAGUGCUUGUGAGGCCAAGUCCAUCGUUAUAACAAACCCCAGUUUCAAGGCAGCAUGGCAGAGCACUGCAAGUCUCCACUGCAGUCUUUUUGGUAACAAAAGCUUUGAUCAAAGCUGGUGCUGGAGCAAAUUGAGUGUGUUGGGAUCUGACAUUCUCACUUGUACUUAUUAACAGAGACUUGGACUAAAAGAUGUAAAACACACUGUACAGGUGCAAGGCUUGGGAACCUUCUAGCUCAUUUGAAACAACUAAGCAAAACAAUGGGUAUGUAGCAAACAAAAAUUUUGGGACGGAGGUGGUGUGUGGGGGACAGCGUGCAAAAUUGGAACCCUGUUUUUUUGUGGUUUUUCUCUGUGUUUUUUUCUCUUCAGUAUUAUCACUAAUACUUUUUAGCACUUUUUGGGAAAAAAAAAGAUCCAGUUCUUGGAUUGAAGGCUAGUAAAAGGGCACUGAACAGCACAUUUAGCACAAACAUUUGUCUCCAGUUUUUAUUUGCUUCCAGGAACCGCAGAUGAGGUGCCAUGAAACAGAUCUAAUACCUGAUUCCCUACUGUGGAAGAAUUCUAAAAAUCUGCCAUUUAAUUCCAAUUAAUCAGGAAACACUUCAAAGAAAAUCUUGUGAAGAUCAGAGAUAAGGAUAAGUAACAUUUGACAUUUUCUGGAUGAGUUACAGUAGUUUGAGUUAAGCUACUCUUCUUGGUAGUAACUGUAGCAAUUUGGAAUGGAGUGCUAAGACUGUUUUCCUUGAAUGAACUGGCAGAAAAGAAAAUUUAAUGAACUGAGACUGUCACCAUGAAAUUUUGCUAAAUUGCAGAGAAUUUGUUGAAAAAUCUAAGUUUUCAGAUGAGGUUUUAUUACAAAGUUUUCCUCACGAUCAUUAGAUCUCAUGCUUAUGAAAACUCCCUUUUGAUGAAAGGUGUACAUGCCUUUUAUUUCACUGCAACCUGUAGUAAGUGUUUAACAUAAUAAAUUGAGAAUUAUUAACUUCCCCACUUGAAGAUGCAAAGAGUGUAUGAAUAACUGACCUUUAAAAUGCUUAGAAGUAUAGCAGAUAAGAAAAGUAUUUGUGUUGGGGUGAGGGCUUUAGGCGAGUGAUUGCGGUUUUUUUAAGAGAAAACUUAGGGCAAACUAAAGUGCAACCAUUUGUUUUCAGACAACAAAAGGAUUUUCAAAAUCACACAUGAGACUGGACCCUGAAGCCAUUGAAUAACUUUCUUGAGCAGCUGGUUAUGCUAUAAAAAACUGUGUUAGUGAAAUAUGUGUAGUUAACAAAAACUUCCAAGAAAGAAAAAAACCCAAACACCUAACAAUCCCACCUUUAAAUGACAGAUGCAUAAAAUUCCAGGCAGGACUUUCAGAUGCACUUCAGGAGCCACAAGAAGCAAGAAAUGAUCUUUCCUGAGUUGGAAGUUGGGAGUUGGAACGUGGCACAUGACAACAAGCCAACCUGUUUUCUGCGCUACACUGAGCCUGCUCUGAAGGCUUUCCAGGGGGAAAUUAGCUGUUCCCAAAGUCACUGUUGGUUUUCCAUCCUUCUGAGCUGCCCAAGAGAUGUAAAAUGUGGAGCAGGAAGGACUCACAGGACUGUCUGUGCUCGUAUGACAGCAGGUGGUUGGCAGAUACGUCAGGCACUGCAGGACAUAAUCGAUGAAACAAGUGUUGCCCAGGUUUUGGAGGCCACCUUCAAAAUCCCACUUUUCCUGCCAGGCAAUGGAACUCUUCUGUGGAAGAAGAUCCCAUUCUGGCAGAGCCAUUUCAAGAUGGAGGAGGACACUCAUGGAGGAGCACCACCAUUGCAAUGGUUGCAAUGCCUUGUUUUUGGGUCCAUUCUCUCUUGCAUGCUCAAAGUCUCUGCAGAAAUCAGAAGCAAUUUAAUUGUCCCACACUCUUCAGUGCCUCUUGCUACACACCCUGUUCCUGCAGUGACUUCCUGCUGAGCCCCCUGUUUGUGUCUUCCAGGAGCUCACCUGCAAAUUUUCGUCAUCUUCUGGAUUUCUCAUUCCCACGAUAUCUUCCAUAAAGAUCUGCGCUCAACCCAGCUUUCCCACACCAGCACUCUGUGUCUCUUGGGACUCAGCUCCUGCUCCAGGGUGCAAGCCUGGAGUAACAAGGGUGGUCUGAGUCAGGGGUGUCCCUGCAGCUUCCUCGUGGCUCCAGUCUCAUCCUGUCAUGUUCAGCCAACACGUAAGAGGACACAGAAAAGACUGAAACCAGCUCUAGAAGCUGGAAAUUAGAUCAAGGUGCUCCAGCCCCAGUUGUUCCUGGACAGGGACAAUUCCUGUCUUCUCUGUCCACAAGGAGAGACAGUGCAUGGUGUUAAAAAGCCACUAUAGAAUGGUCCUGGAGUGACUGGGAGAGACUGAAGGCAACCAUAGAGACACAAGGGGACACAGGAGCUUCUCCAAGGAUGUUGAUUCCAAUCCAGAGGCCCCAGCAUCAGGGUGACCUCAACCCCAGGGACCCCAACAGCCCAUGCUACAUCCCAACCUACUGCCAUCCCCCCCAUAAACACAACCCUUUGGGGACCAUACCCUGGCAAGCUCAUCCCGGCACCCUGUGCCUGCUGAGCCAGCAUUCCUGAGACUUCCCACUGCACCAGCACUGUUCCACCACUGUGUCCUCCUUAAUCAGUAAACACUGCACUGAUGCCAGAGGCUUCUGUGUUUCCUGAGUGUCCCCAUGCACUGGAGAUGUGUCCCCUGGUGUCGAGUCCAGUCAGAACACACCCAUGUCUUGAUGGGUUUGUGUCCUAUGGAUCUGCAUGUCCAAAACUAGCACACAUCUCCAGAGAUGGAAGGACUGAUUAAUGAGAAAUUAAGUAAUAAGUAAUUUUUCAUCAUCUGUCAUUCUGUAAAGUGACAAGAUGUCACCUGUUGAUCAUCUUUCUCUUUGUCUUUGCUCUUAUUUUGUUUUUUCCCCCAUGUUUGUGGUUUUGGCUCUCUUCCAGUUCUCUUCCAUUUCCAAUGCAUUGUUUCCUGUGCUGCUGCUCCUUUUUCUCUUUUUCUUACUGCCUUGACUUUCCAGAGCUGGCACUGCUACUCUGCCUUCCAGCUUGACUCUCCAAAGGCUGAGGCUACACUUAUCUGCACAUACAAAUUAAAUUACUAUAAUUCAGUCACCCUCUCCCCAGAUUUUUUUCCUCCCAAAUUUGGCCUGGGUUCUCUUUCUUUCCCCUGCAUAUGCUUACACCAAAACUUCUUUCAGCUGCUGACAUCAUGCCUAACAACACAUGAAAGGUUCUGCCUGAAGGCAGGACAGCUGCUGCUUUGUGAGUGUAGAACACACCGGAAGGGUCAGUCUGCUUCCACUCCCUUCUAGCCCAUGAUCUACCAGACCUAUGGAUGGAUUCCAACUGGUAUAUACUGGCCUCUACUGGUACCUGUCACACAUUUUUAGUGUUCAUUGUCCAAAUCUGCGUGCUCACUGACUUCACUGUGUGUUACUGAGGGUGACUGAUCAGAAUAUUGACAACAGAAAUGUCAUAGACGUUUAAGAGAAAUACUUUAACUUCAGCAUUUGUGUGUCUUUUAUAUUCGCAAUCUGCAGAUUUACUCACUGAAAAGGUUUCUUUGUCUUUUCAGCAGAGAGAGAUGUUCCUCAGAUUGGAGGAACACUGUUCCAAUACCUGCAAAUAAUUAGAAUCAUUGCUGAUGAAUUAGUUUUUUAGCCAAACUAAGGAAGUUUUGGGGGUUACAAUCCACUAUAAACUCCCAUCUAUUAUUGAUCUGAACAUGAUCUGGAGCUGAGAGCAUGAAGCUAUCAAUAGUGUCAGAAAUUUCUGGUACACAGCAAUACUGUCUAGUUUGGGGAUUUCACUGGUGUAACCUUUGAAGAUGUUGAGCUGGCUGAGUCUGGUGUUUCAACUCUCUUUUCUACUCUCUAGAACAGUGAAGAGUCACCAAUCUCCAGGUUAAUGAACAAACCACAUUUCAAAGCACUCCAAAUUAAAUGUCUAAACACUGGCAUUUUUGAAGGCUAAAUCUCUUUCUAGAGCCACACCACCAGAAAAAGGAGGAGGCAACAAUUUUCCUUCUGCAGAUGGUCACUAGAUGAACUAAGAAAAUAGGUCAGGUUAAAAAAGUAAUUUUUUGACAGCUAGAAAUGAAUUUUCCUUUCCUCUUGUUGGCCUGAACCUGCAAAUUCAGUUGCAGGAUAUUGUGUGUUCACAACAGCUCACCAGGUUGAGGAUCCUUGUAAAAUCAUACAGAGACAGCUGACAGUGGCAUCUCUGCCUCACCUCUGCAGCUGAAACACCUUCUCAUCUACUACCACUUAAAUGGAGGCUUUCUGGACUUCUAACCCUCCCCUGUCUGUCUUCAGAACACUGUUGCUUAAAGGUCCAAGUCAAAUGGGUUCAUAUUUUCUAUCACAUUACCUCAGCCACUAACUUCUUGCUGGGUGAAGUUACUGGCUAGGAGAGAAGUCAGGAAUUCAGGCCAGUAGCACUGACAUCCCACAGCAUAAAAUGGUUCAUCAAGAGGAGACUACUGUGAGAGGGUCGGAGAUAGGAUGUAUUUAUUAAUUGCUAAAACUGUAGGCAUUUAAAAAAGGGAAUUUAUCAUUUAUUUUACUUGAAUUGAGUUUAGAGUCUUGGAAAAGUGUCAUUGUCAUAGAGGUCACAGAUAGGGCUGGCUCCUAUGCCUCAAAGGCUCUAGGAACCCACCAUCUCUCUCAAUGAUGUUAGGACCAUUUAUUCAUGGUAUUAUUAGGACUCCAUAUUUUGGGGGGGGAAAUCCAUCAGGACCCAGAAAGAGGAAAACAAAAUGUCCUUUUUCUGUGUUGGUAACUACAAGUCUGACACAGCAGGCUCAGCAGGGACUAGCAACCGAAGGGGCCGGGAUCUGACCUAAGCAGAAAAUGUAAAGUAACUUUUCAGCUAAUGUAUUUGAUACAGCUAAAGACUGGAAAUAAAAAUCAUCACUUCAAGCAAAAUGUUCAGUGUAGAAAUGUAGUAACAUUAUUAUAUAGCAAACAGAAACAUUCAGUCUUCUCUUCUCAGUUAAUCAGUUAGUAGUCAAUAAAAUUGAGUACACAAAUAAGUCCUGUGGUUAUAUCAAAUACAUUAAUAACAUUUAAAUGACCAUAUAUCCAAGCUGUAAGUAACUUCUAAGUAAAUACUGCUAAAUUCUUUUUUCCUGAUUUGGGAGAAAGUGAGAAAACUAUGUAUUUUGGAGGAAAGCUCUUCAGCUGGUGUUUAAUACUUCAUCCAGCUCAAUGGACAUGGGAUGGUUUUUAAUUAUCAAUUCCUCCAGACAAGUGCAGUCAUAUAAAGGUCUCAGGGAGACAAGCACUGACCUGUUUUUCUGGCCACAUGUGUGCACUGUCUCACACACACUGAACACUGUAACUCUUGCAGCGUGCAAGGUUCUCAAGACAUCACAGCACAAGUAUUAUUCUCAAAGUAUCACCAUUUAUACAGUCUAGUUUCACAUAAAGGCACCAGCUUUAGUCAUUAAACAACUAGCUUUCAGUAAAAAAAAAAAAAUAGCAAAGAGCAUAUCAAAGAAUAUGUCCAUGAAGGAAAUACUGUGAAACAAAUGGGAUUUUUACUACUCUUGUGAUGUUUGCCUAGUAGGUAGACCCUACAACGUAAAACAAUACAAAGCAUACAGAAUUACCUAAAACUAAACACAAAAAAACAAACAGACAAGUUUCUGUGCUUUUAAGUAACCAAAAAUCAGUGACUGUGAAAGAAAAGACAAAGUUAGCAGUUCAGGUGAGUAAAGGAAGCAUUAAUAACUCAAACCAUUCUUUACAUGCAGUAUUUGAAAACUUUGAAAAGACCACAGCAUGCCAAAAGCAAGGACUUGUGACUAAAAGGUGCAUUUGUUUUAGUUGUUUUAUUUUCCUGAUGUUUUGGCUGAAUUGCAUUGGCUUUCUAAUAGGAGGGUUUGAUUUGUUUGCUAUUAAUGCAAGAAAUUAUAUCAAUUCAGUUUAUGAUCAGAGGACAAAAAUGCCCUCAGGAACAAGUCAAGCUAGUCUGUCUACAAAGACAAACCACCAAAAAACCCCUAAAUUCCUGUUUAACAACUCGAAAAAGAUACACUGUUCUGCAGGUCUGAGGCCAAUUGUUUCCAGUUACUUUCUUUCUAGGAUAUACAUCUAAAGGUGAGAUUCUGAACUUCAACUGAACAGAACUAUCACUGUGUUUCCUUAGCCAAGUGCAGAAAAAUAAUCCAUCAGAGUAUUGUGUGUAUCCAAACUAUGUGGGGUUUUUUGUUAUUACUUAGUUCCAUUCUUCAUCAUGAUUUUACAUAGUCUGCUGAUAGCAGAGAGCCAGAAGUAUGCCAAGACUGUCAGAUCAUGCCAGACAUCAGCACCAUUUCUAUUUGGGUGCCAAAUUUCCUGAAAGGCUUUUAGGACUUAGUAAGAAGAAUAUCAUUACGGUAUAGGAGGGAGAUGAGUGUCUGACAUGGCCAGUUGAUGAGUUUGCUGGAAAGAAGCACUUGGAAAACAUGAGCAAAACCAGCGUGGAGCAAAAAGGAAGAUAGAGGAUGGACGUGGAUUUUUUCUCUAGAGUGAACCAGUACAAAUAUUUUAUGUUACUGUUCCAGAAAUGCAGAUUUAAACUGAAAGAACUACAGGUCCAGAUUAACACUGGCCCUGAGUGAGUCUUCAGGGGAGAAAGACAGAGGUGCCAGUCAGAGGCUGAGGAAAAGAAAGUAAAUAAAUGAGGGAGGAAAAAAGGCAGAAGGAAUGUCUCUGCUUUGAUAUGGGUGGCAUGAGAAGGAACAGAGUAAAAUUCAAAGUAAAAUUCAAAGAUUUUCUUAUUAUUUCAUACAGUUUAAUGAAGUUUCUAUCCCAGGAAAAUCAGAAAGGCACGACUCCAAGACAGCAAACUCUUGUGCAAAUAUAACCUUACCUGGCUUAUACCAAAGUUGGGUACCAACUCCCAUGAUGGGAUCAUCUAUGGAUGCAAUUCUAGAAGACUUUUCUGCAGCAACAGGCAGUACUGCAGCACACUUAUGAAUGCAAAUGGAUGGCAACUGCCUGUGAGAAAUAAAAGCUGACUGAGUACAUGCUCAAAGAAAAGUUCAGUUUGCAUCCUCUGAGUAUAUUCCUGUGGAAGAACAUCAACUGAAAAAUGGGUCAAAAACUGAAAGACAGUGAUCCUUGUGGCUAAGUCUUCUUCCGGAAGUAAGAGUAUCACAUCUCCUAAACAGUCACACCUAAGCAAGGAGAGUGAAACACUGGACUGCCAAAGAGCUCAAACUUCUUAAAAUGUGGGUUCAAAUAUCAAGUGAAAGUCAAACUGGAUCUGUGAAAUAGAAUAACUAUGUCCUUAAGUUUGCAAUGCAAGAUGUUUUGUCUAACCUAAAUUACUUGGAGUUCUACCAUACAGUGCUGUAAUAGCAACAUGACAUUUUUCCUUAGUGCUGUUUUCUUUGUAUCCAAAUUUCUCAUUUUUAUGGAGCUGUUACUUUUGCCAGAAAGUAAAAGUCAAGCAUUUCCUAGUGAAAAAAUGGUAACAGUUCUGUUAUUGCAGAGACAUACCUAUUCCAGGUAUAUGAUAGUUCACUGAUACUAUAUUUCAAAUAAAGAGAAGUCCUGACUUAAGACAUUUGUGUCACUGCAGAUUUGCAGGGACACCCUAUGGCUCAUGCAAGGUAGUCUCAGGUGGGCAGAGAAUCACAAGUAUGGGAUGGGAAAGCAAAGGAAAUUUACACAUGGGGAGCAGUUUUGGAUUACCCUGAGCUUAGAGUAAGUCUGAUUUCAAUUUUGUUAAUACUAAAGUGGGACAUUUUCUUGAUACUUCCACAGUUGCAAAUUCAGUUGGUUGUUAACCAAUGCCCAUUCAAACAAUUAUGGGAGGGAUAUUUAGCUUGUGAAAUAAUUCAACCUGUAAUGGACUAUGACUUGUUUUCACAGCUGGUGUGGACUGUUCCUCUUGCUUAUAGUGAACUAUAUCUUAGAAGACUGGUUUCUCUUCCUAAUUUUUAAUGUAAAAAGGGGUUUUACAUUUUAAAAUAACCCACUGACAACCUCCUAAUAAUGUUGGUUAUUGAUAUCUUAGCAGUUUUUAUGAUGGACUAUGGGGUGGCGUUGUUUUGGUUUGCUGUUUGCAUGUUUUUAUUUAAUAGGAACAAGAAAAGGACUGAUUUUCAGCAGUCGUGACUUUAAACCCGAAGUUUAGUUACCUGAAGUUCAUCCUGGACAAAAUACUAAUAUUUUUCUCAAAUUCUUUCAAAAUCCAGUGUUAGAACUGUGCAUACAUAGAGUUGCAGUGCUAUAAGGCUACCCCAGUCCCCUGUAGGAAAGAACCUGCCAUCUCAGGCUACAGCUGGGGAAAGGGUCAAGAACGGGCCCAGUUACAGCUUUGCAUGGAUUGGAGAAGGUUGGAGAAGGACCUGCAUUUCAGAGGAUAUUGCUAUGAGGAAAAUUUGGGAAAUUGCUAGGUUGAAGAGCUCCAUGGAGGAUGGUCAAGGCAGAGGAGGCUGCCCUUUACCUGCCAUGAUGAGAAAGGGAGUAUUGUAGAAUCACAGAAUCAUUUCGGUUGGAAAAGAUCUUUGAGACUGAGUCAAACCUUUGACUGAUCUCCACCCUGUAAACUAAACCAUAGCACUAAGUGCCACAUCCAGUAGUUCCUUGCAUAUUUCCAAGGAUGGUGACACCACCACUUCCCUGGGCAGCCUGUUCCGAUGUUUAACAACCUUUCCACAGAGAAAUUCUUCCUGAUGUCCAGCCUAAACCUCCCCCAGCACAGCCUGAGGCUGUGUCCUCUUAUUUUGUUGCUAGUUGCCUGGGAGAAGACUUUGCAGGAGAGUGAUUCCUUUUGAGAGGACAGACAGGCCUGCCUCAACUGUCCCGACUCAGCACUUCUGGAACAAAACAUGACCAAGUGCAGAAAGAGGUGUUUGCAAUGCUUGCUGCGGAUCACAAAAUAAACAGAGCCAAUGUGCAGCUGGCCUGGUAGCAGCAAAAGAGCCUAAGUCUUUGCUCUUCAUUUGCCAUGAAGAGCUGCACUGCCUGCAUAGGAAUGAAACUUUCUUUUCACCAGACCUCUCUGCCACAAUCAGAAACACCAGUGAUAUGAUACUGCAGCUGAUCUGAAAAGUGGACAGAGCCUGCAAAGACUUUACAUUAAGAAAACAGCCAGUAUGCUCCCCAUCCAGUACAUACUGAUUCUUCUUGGUUUGUAUCACUUUGAUUAUUCCACCUCUAGCUAACAGAUAAACCAGGAGCCUGAGGUGAACAAAUUCAAAGAGAAAUACCUUACUCAGGAAUAAAAAUCUGCAUAUUAACCAAGAUCUGUAUCACAAACCAACUUCAAACAUGUAAAGCAAAAUCAACCAAUGAAGAACUUAAUGUCAGGAUCCUAAAAUUCCUACUAGGCUGACAGUUGGUAAUAAAAAAAGCCAAAAUCUUGUUUGCAGAGAUUCAUUAUGUAGCAUUUUACACGAAAGUCCAGGAUGAUGUUAUACAGCCACACAUCUGGGGUGAUUAGCCCCAAUUUAAGAAUAAAAAAAUCUCAAGGAAAAGCAGCUAUUUACUAGAAUAAGGAUGAGGGCACAACAAACUACCAGAUUUGUGCAACUGAAUAGGCUGAAUGUUAGGAAGCAUUAUUUUAUCAUAUAACAAAUCAAACAGAAAUACUUACCUUGAUCCUAAGAGAUGCUGAGUACAAAGCUACUAGUAAUUUCCCACAAAAAAACCCCAGAUCAGUAUCUUUAGAGAGGACUAAAAUUACCAGAAACAUUCAGGAAUAUGAUUUCACAGUACCAAAGAAAAGGAAUUCAGGGAAGCCAUGUAGGAGUGUGUCCUGAGCCAUGCUGAAUACUGAACACAGGGGCAGUGGAAGCCACAUUGCAAUGACAGCUGUGGGCAACAACAGAGACAAGGCCAGGAGGAGGCAAACCAAGAGCAGAGGAAAAACACCAGAGCUAAAAAAUGUAUUUUGUUUUAUCCAUGCUAAUGCAUACAUAUUAAUGUAUGGGCUCUCUUCCUUGGUUGCAAAGUUAUCCUCCCACUACCUAAACUCACUUCAAUGCUCAAUCUAAACACACAGUUAAGUAAUUUCUGCUAAACUUUUCCUGACAGUUUUCUUGCAUUCAAAUAUAUGUGUUCAUUCUUCCAACUUUGAAGUGUCUUCGCUACAUGAAGGAAGCCUGCUCCUUGCACUAUACAGAACUACUUAGCUGAUAUAUCGGACAUUUACUGUAACUGCUUCUGGGCACAAACAAAGCACUCUUUUUUCUUUAUUCAGCAAAGAAUCAGAACUGUCAGAAGUAUCCAUUAGCACAGUGUUUUUCCAAGCAUUCUGUCAUACUGUUGUUACAGAAAGACAAGAAAAGCAAUCUCAGACAAGGACAUACGACUUGGCAAACAAGUAAAAAGAGGUAUCAGCCUAAUAUUCCAAGAACCUUAGCUACUGCCAGC